UACGGAGGGUGCAAGCGUUGUUCGGAUUUACUGGGCGUAAAGCGCGCGCAGGUGGGUUUACAAGUCGGAAGUGAAAGCCCAGGGCUCAACCCUGGGAGGCGGGUGGAUACUACGGAACUGGAGUACGGAAGAGGAGAUUGGAAUUCCUGGUGUAGCGGUGAAAUGCGCAGAUAUCAGGAGGAACACCAACAGCGAAGGCAGAUCUCUGGGACGUUACUGACGCUGAGACGCGAAAGCGUGGGGAGCAAACAGG
rnacentral:rRNA from 1 species